rnacentral:lncRNA from 1 species
CCAACUUAAAAAAAAAAAAAUCACCACCACACAUAAUAGGAAAAUUACCAUGUUAACACAGAGUAACUGUUCUGAAAACUGUAUUUAACAACUUAAUUUUUUCUUUUCAAUGGCAGCUCACAUGGCACCCAAAAAAGCUCUAGAUUAUGUUCUGGCACUACCCUCCAUGCUUGUUCUCUGCUUAGCAAGGGCAGGGAUGAAAAACUAUCCAUGGGAUGUUUCAGCAGAUCUACUCAUCUUUUCAAGCAUGAGGAAAUGGCAGCAGCACCUUUUUCACCAGGAAAGCCAUUGGAAAAACAGCUUGCAGAAGACAAAAAAGGAACAGAAAGUUGCAUAUGCUGUAAGAGGAGACUCCAUCCCAACCCUGCAGCAAGUCACAGCAUGUCAGACCAUCAGGCUCAUCUGCUGUUUCUGUGGAAUUAUGCUGUUUAAAUUUCCCCUUACCUUACAGUGGUGUUCAAACAAGGCAGUCCUCUGUGACCCAGAGCAUGUUAGUGACUGCUGCAUCUCUGUCAUUGGAAGUAAUUGCCAUUCUUUCUUCAGUAAACCCAAAUUGCUCUCCGUGUCCAGGCCUUUGCUGUGCAGUACAGACUCAUUUUCUGCAUUAGCGUGUAGAGGAGGAAGCAGCGAUGCUGGCUGUACCUCUGGGACACAGAGGAAAUGA